rnacentral:tRNA from 1 species
GCCCUUGUAGUUUUAAUGUUAAAACAGGCCCUUGGUAAGGGUCAGUUACGAGUUAGAUUCUCGUCGAGGGCACCA